rnacentral:lncRNA from 1 species
GCCGUCGUCGUCGUCGUCUCCGUCACGUUAUUAAUUCGAAAUUAAAAAAAAAAACACGGGAGGAAGCAGCGCUGGUAGUACUAGUUUUUUUUUUCUUUCUCCUCCCUCGCCACUAAAUUAAAACUCGUCUUGUCCCUUUGCUUUGCUGCUCCCCUCCUAUAGACCUUUCUUCGCCCUUUUCUUUCUCCCCCCACCACCCGGCGCUGCCGCUCCACGCUCCCAUCGCUGUCGCGCUCCUCUCGCAUUCGCGCUCUCGCAGCAGGAACUGGAAGCUGUUGCCUUCCGAAGAAUUCAAACCCCGGN